UACGGAGGGUGCGAGCGUUGUCCGGAAUCAUUGGGCGUAAAGGGCGCGUAGGUGGCCCGGUCAGUUCGUGGUGAAAGCGCGGGGCUCAACCCUGCGUCGGCCAUGAAUACUGCCGCGGCUGGAGCACUGUAGAGGCAGGCGGAAUUCCGGGUGUAGCGGUGGAAUGCGUAGAGCUCCGGAGGAACACCAGUGGCGAAGGCGGCCGCCUGGGCCCAGUCCGUGACGCUGAGCCGCGAAAGCGA
rnacentral:rRNA from 1 species